GACCUUCGGGUCUAGUGGCGCACGGGUGCGUAACGCGUGGGAAUCUGCCCAAAGGUUCGGAAUAACUCGGGGAAACCCGUGCUAAUACCGGAUAAUGUCUUCGGACCAAAGAUUUAUUGCCUUUGGAUGAGCCCGCGUCGGAUUAGCUAGUUGGUGAGGUAAAGGCUCACCAAGGCGACGAUCCGUAGCUGGUCUGAGAGGAUGAUCAGCCACACUGGGACUGAGACACGGCCCAGACUCCUACGGGAGGCAGCAGUGGGGAAUAUUGGACAAUGGGCGAAAGCCUGAUCCAGCAAUGCCGCGUGAGUGAUGAAGGCCUUAGGG
rnacentral:rRNA from 1 species